GAUGGAGAACGUAGCGAAAUGCGAUAAGUAAUGUGAAUUGCAGAAUUCAGUGAAUCAUCGAAUCUUUGAACGCAUCUUGCGCUCCUUGGUAUUCCUUGGAGCAUGCCUGUUUGAGUAUCAUGAGCAAAUCUCAAAGUCAAUUCCUUUUGUUAAUUCAAUUGGUUUUGCUUUGGACUUGGAGGUCUUGCAGAUUUCACAGUCUGCUCCUCUUAAAUGCAUUAGCUGGAUCUCAGUAAUUAUGCUUGGUUCCACUCGGCGUGAUAAGUAUCACUCGCUGAGGACACUGUUAAAAAGGUGGCCAGGAAAAUACUGAUUGAACCGCUUCUAACGGUCUAUUAAGUUAGACAAUUACCCUUAAGUUUGAUCUCAAAUCAGGUAGGACUACCCGCUGAACUUAAGCAUAUCAAUAAGCGGAGGA
rnacentral:misc_RNA from 1 species